rnacentral:tRNA from 1 species
GGAGCCGUAGACGAAGUGGCAAAGUCGCCGGACUUUCAAUCCGGACACAUGCGGGUUCGAGUCCCGUCGGCUCUAC